UAAUACAGAGGGUGCAAGCGUUGUCCGGAAUCACUGGGCGUAAAGGGCGCGUAGGCGGCUUGGUAAGUAGGGGGUGAAAUCUCAUGGCUCAACUGUGAGGCUGCCUUCUAGACUGCCUGGCUCGAGCACAGUAGAGGCGAGUGGAAUUCCCGGUGUAGCGGUGGAAUGCGUAGAGAUCGGGAAGAACAUCGGUGGCGAAGGCGGCUCGCUGGGCUGUAGCUGACGCUGAGGCGCGAAAGCGUGGGGAGCAAACAGGAUUAGAUACCCUGGUAGUCCACGCUGUAAACGAUGGGUGCUAGGCGUCGGGGGGAGCGACCCCUUCGGUGCCGUCGCUAACGCAAUAAGCACCCCGCCUGGGGAGUACGGUCGCAAGACUG
rnacentral:rRNA from 1 species